rnacentral:tRNA from 1 species
GGGGUUGUGGCUCAGUGGUAGAGCACUACUUGCCUAGCAUGCAUGAGGCACUGGGUUUGAUCCCUGAAACCAUA